rnacentral:rRNA from 1 species
UGGGGAAUAUUGCACAAUGGGCGCAAGCCUGAUGCAGCCAUGCCGCGUGUGUGAAGAAGGCCUUAGGGUUGUAAAGCACUUUCAGCGAGGAGGAAGGCAUCAUACUUAAUACGUGUGGUGAUUGACGUUACUCGCAGAAGAAGCACCGGCUAACUCCGUGCCAGCAGCCGCGGUAAUACGGAGGGUGCAAGCGUUAAUCGGAAUUACUGGGCGUAAAGCGCACGCAGGCGGUUUGUUAAGUCAGAUGUGAAAUCCCCGCGCUUAACGUGGGAACUGCAUUUGAAACUGGCAAGCCAGAGUCUUGUAGAGGGGGGUAGAAUUCCAGGUGUAGCGGUGAAAUGCGUAGAGAUCUGGAGGAAUACCGGUGGCGAAGGCGGCCCCCUGGACAAAGACUGACGCUCAGGUGCGAAACGCGUG